rnacentral:rRNA from 1 species
CUACGGGCGGCACCAGUGAGGAAUAUUGCACAAUGGGGGGAACCCUGAUGCAGCAACGCCGCGUGGAGGAUGACGCAUUUCGGUGUGUAAACUCCUUUUAUAUGUCAAGAAAAUGACGGUAGCAUAUGAAUAAGCACCGGCUAACUCCGUGUCAGCAGCCGCGGUAAUACGGAGGGUGCAAGCGUUACUCGGAAUCACUGGGCGUAAAGGACGCGUAGGCGGGUUGGAAAGUCAGGUGUGAAAUCCUACGGCUUAACUGUAGAACUGCACUUGAAACUUCUAAUCUAGAGUAUGGGAGGGGGAGAUGGAAUUAGUGGUGUAGGGGUAAAAUCCGUAGAUAUCACUAGGAAUACCUAAAGCGAAGGCGAUCUCCUGGAACAUUACUGACGCUAAGGCGUGAAAGCGUGGGGAGCAAACAGGAUUAGAUACCCCUGUAGUC